UGUUUAAGGAAAAAAAAAUUUUUAGACUAAAUGUAGAUUUCGAAAACAAAUCCUACACCCUAAAAAAUAUAUGCAUAUGAACCGCCAGUCAUCUGAAUUCAGCACAAGGAGACUCUGAAGAAGUUGCGGUUAUCUGAUUCUGAAGUUCAUCAUCUGAAUUCUGAACAAGUUGCGUAUAUUUGAUUCUGAUUUCUGAUCGCAAGUUGUGAACAGCACCAGCGUAGCGAAAGCGAAAGGGGAAAAUGGAAGGAGUAAAUGAGAAAGAGAACGAAGAAGUAGAAGCACAAAAACAUUCAGGUCCGUCUGAAUUGGGGAAAUGGGCAGAGAUUCAAGAUAUGCUGAAGAAGAGAGUCAUUACCGAGGAUGAUUUCCCAUGGAGAUUGCCCUCUUUACAGUCACAACACCAACAACUCAGGUAUGUGGGGGGAGUGGACGUCAGCGUCUCCAAGGAAGACCCAUCCAUGGCGUGUGGGAGCCUGGUGGUUUUGGACCUCCAUCAUGCUCUGCGCCUCGUCUAUCAGUGCCAUACUGUCCUCACCCUUGACGUUCCUUAUGUCCCUGGCUUCCUUGCCUUCCGCGAGGCUCCUAUUCUUGUACACCUCUUGGAGAAGAUGAAAAGCACUGCUAGUCCUUUCUACCCACAGGUACUCAUGGUGGAUGGUAAUGGAUUGCUUCACCCUAGAGGUUUUGGUUUGGCCUCUCAUCUAGGUGUUCUUGCUAAUCUUCCAACCAUUGGUAUUGGAAAGAAUCUGCACCAUGUUGAUGGUCUGACUCGAUCUGGGGUAAAAGAACUUCUCGAAGCUGAAGAAAACAGAACCAAGGACCUUAUUACUUUAAGAGGCAGCUCAGGAUUCAUCUGGGGUGUGGUAAGAGGCAAUGAGAUCAACUCAGAGUUCAUUGAAGCCUUUAUUUGUUUCAAUUGGUCAUCGAAUAUCACUUGAUACCGCCAUCAAAGUUGUGAAAAUGACAUGCAAAUUUCGUGUGCCAGAGCCUAUCAGGCAGGCUGAUAUAAGAUCCAGAAAGCAUCUUCGUAAGCAUCAAAUUGGAAGGUUAGAAUGAUACAAUUGCUAAAUGCAUCUAGGACGUACUGGUGGCAAUAUGUUGGGCAGAUUACUUGCUCUGAGGUACCAGAUUUUGUCAGAAGUUAUCUGGUCCAGCGUUUUAUUAGAUUUUCAAAGUUGUUUCAGAAAUUGAGCACACUGAGAAGGGAGAUUCAGACACAAUAUUGACAUGUCAUAUAGUUAGUUAUGGAUCUGCAACAAGUUGAGCCAGCAGGUUGUAUCAUCUGUGUUGCUACUGCUGCCAGUGAAAGCUACCGUGCAUGAUUUUUGGGGCUCUGACAGAUGGAUCACUUUCAACUGGCAUCGUUAGCUUGUAUUUCCUAUCCUGACUGUUGAUGCCCUUGCCUAUCAUCACUUCUUUCCUGGUAGUUGAUGUUUAUCAUUUUAUUGCUAAAACAAAAAAUCUGAGCAAGAUGAAUUGCAUCAAUCAGAAGAACUUAAUUAGAGAAAGUUUGUUCUUUCA